UGCUGAAAGCCCAGCUGGUUAACGUCAGUGCAGCGUAUGGAGAAAUCCAGAUCCGGCUGGACAUCAGUGCAGCGCGAGCAGCAGUGCAAGGUCGCUGCAGUGACGUGCUGAAAUUGUUCUCCGGACGCUGGAGGUUUUACAGUGGGAACUUCUAUUACUUUUCACAAGAAAAAAAGUCGUGGGACGAUGCCGAGCGGUUCUGUGUAAAUUGGAAAUUACACCUGACCUCUGUCUCCUCCCAGGCGGAACAGGAGUUUCUCUCCAACGAGACCCAGGGAGAAGCUCACUGGAUUGGACUCAGCGACCGGGAGACAGAAGGCAGCUGGCGCUGGGCGGAUGGCACAGAAUACAGAGCAGACGCAAGCAGGGGGUUCUGGGCACAGAAUCAG